GACGAACGCUGGCGGCGUGCCUAACACAUGCAAGUCGAACGAGUGGCGGACGGGUGAGUAAUGUCUGGGAAACUGCCUGAUGGAGGGGGAUAACUACUGGAAACGGUAGCUAAUACCGCAUACCAUCGGAUGUGCCCAGAUGGGAUUAGCUAGUUGGUGGGGUAAAGGCUCACCAAGGCGACGAUCCCUAGCUGGUCUGAGAGGAGGACCAGCCACACUGGAACUGAGACACGGGCCAGACUCCGACGGGAGGCAGCAGGGGGGAAUAUUGCACAAUGGGCGCAAGCCUGAUGCAGCCAUGCCGCGUGUAUGAAGAAGGCCGUCGGGUUGUAAAGUACUUUCAGCGGGGAGGCGUUACCCGCAGAAGAAGCACCGGCUAACUCCGUGCCAGCAGCCGCGGUAAUAC
rnacentral:rRNA from 1 species